rnacentral:rRNA from 1 species
AAACCUGAUAAACCCAAAAGAUCGAAUGGGGAGAUUCAUCGCCAGUGACUUUGGCUCUCGCUCGGAAUUGCAUUACCUGGCUACGGUUAGUGUCUUGCGUCUGUUGCGAUGUGUCCGUCGUCGUAGUGCGUGCACUUCUCCCCUAGUAGGACGUCGCGACCCGUUGGGUGCCGGCCUACGGCCCGGUAGGUUGACUGACGCGUCGCGUUCGCGCGUUCCCGCGUCAGACACCGCUGGAUGCCCGGCCGGCUGCUCGGCGGUAUAGAAUGCUUUAACACGGUAUUGAGCCGCACUUUAAGUGCGUCCGGCUCGUCGGCAGGCUCGCAUCGUGCGGAUUUACGGACCUGGUGCCGUUGCCGUUACGUUGUGUUGCUGUUAGUCGACGAUGUCCUCGGACUGGCUCUUAACAUUCGAAUGGAUAUACCGGUCGGCGACGCUACUGCUUUGGGUACUUU